CCCUUAGAUGUCCGGGGCCGCACGCGCGCUACAAUGGAUGAAUCAACGCGUCAUCCUGGCCCGAAAGGGUUGGGGAACCGCUGAACCUCAUCCGUGGUUGGGAUUGGGGUUUGUAAUUAUUCCCCAUGAACUAGGAAUUCCCAGUAAGCGCGAGUCAUAAGCUCGCGUUGAUUACGUCCCUGCCCUUUGUACACACCGCCCGUCGCUACUACCGAUUGGAUGGUUUAGUGAGAUCCUCGGAUUGGUCACGGCACGGUGGCAACACUGCGUCGGUGUGCCGAGAAGACGAUCAAACUUGAUCAUCUAGAGGAAGUAAAAGUCGCAACA
rnacentral:rRNA from 1 species